AUGGCCGAUUCCACCGCGCACCCGCCGCCGGCGGUGGAUCAGCGAGUCCAACGGCUGGCUACCCGCGCCUCCAUCGCACUCGCCGCUGCGGCGACGCUCUUCCUCGUGUACCUCGUCCGGCACGUCUCCACCUCCUGCUUCCGCGCGUCCCACACCACCCCUCUCUCUCCCUUCCCCCGCAACUCCUGCGACGCCGCCUCCCGCCACGUCCUCCCCCCAGACCGCCGGCUCGCCAAGCUCCGCUCAUCCUCUCGCUGGCGCCGCCUCUCUGCCACGCUGGCUUCCUCCUUAUUCCCGCCGCUACACGGCCUCCGCCUCCUGGCCACCUCUUCCCGCGUCCUCUGCCUCGCGGCCGGCGCCGGCAACGCCGUCGACGCGCUCCACGCAGCGGGGGUAAGCGAAGUGACCGGGAUCGACCUCGUGGACUUCCCGCCGCUCGUCCGUCGCGCAGACCCCCAUCGCCUCCCCUUCUCUGACGGCGCCUUCGAUCUCAUCUUCUCCGACGACCCGGCGGGGAUCUCCGGCGCGCUCUUCCCGGCUCGCGUCGCCGCGGAGGCCGAGCGCGCUGUUCGCCACGGAGGCGCCAUCGCUCUCGCCGUCGACCGGCAGCAGGACCCCGCCGCCGUCGCCGCGCUCUUCAAGAGGUCACGCGUCGUGGAUACCAGGGCUGUCACCUUGGAUGGCUCCCAGGUCAGGUUGCUAAUUUUUUCAGAGUAA
rnacentral:rRNA from 1 species